GAUGCAUCAGAGUACAGUCAGCUCAUCUCUGCAGGGCCGUUGCUGCCGCUGCUAGAACAGUAUGCAGGCGUAGGUUCUUAUGACCAGAACACUCUUAGGGGGGCCCCGUGGCAAGUGCAGUCACAAGGCGCUAACGCUGACAAAUGUACGGGCAGCCAACUCCAACUAGCUAGUAUGGCUAAUCAAGAGCCUUCGUGCAGCACGUGGAAUCGGGCAGCACCCAUGUACCUGCCAUCGACGUCGUACACAGGUUAUUACGCUGGCGGUGACCCGGCAAACGUCUCCUGGCAAGCUUCGCAAAUUCCUGGUGGAUCACGUCAUUAUGGUGUAACAGACCACACACGAUGGUCAAAUACAGCACAACAAGGUAGAGGGAAAAUAUCUGAACCACAAAAAACAGCGCUACAUUUGCUAUUUGUAGUUAUUUGUAGGCAAAACAAUGGUUGCCAUGUUUGUUGAACAGUAGGUGCCAUGUCUGCACACCUA